CACUGACAUUAGAUACCCGUGUAGUCCAGGGUGUAAACGCUGCAGACUUGGUGUUGGGAACCCUUCGGGGGUGCUCAGUGCCGGAGAGAAGUUGUUAAGUCUGCUACUUGGGGAGUACGUCCGCAAGGAUGAAACUUAAAGGAAUUGGCGGGGGAGCACCGCAACGGGAGGAGCGUGCGGUUUAAUUGGAUUCAACGCCGAAAAACUCACCAGCAGCGACUGUUACAUGAAAGUCAGGUUGAUGACCUUACUAGAUUUUCAG
rnacentral:rRNA from 1 species